UUUCUUAGAAAAAUAAUCAUAAAUCAUCGCGACGGCUUUAAAAUUGAGAGGGAUUUUUCGAGUUGGCAUCGCUCCGACCUGGUCCAGGCAAAGCGGCUUCGAUGAACAUUUUUCCCCUCCUCCCCUCAUUCUUCUUUUUCUCUCCUUCCCCUCCGUUCACUUCUUCGGCAUCCUCGAGCGAAGCUGUAAAAUCCCACGUUUGAACCCUCAAUCGACGUGAGUGGCCGUCCUAUGCUGGCUUUGCCUCCAUCAUCCUCGUACUUUGGUUCCCGGCUUUGACAUCGUCCCCUUGACAUUUCUUCUUCUGCAGCUUCGUCCGAGGAUUUGUUUUGAAAUAUGAAAAGCUAAAAGACUUGGCUGCUGCUGCUUUGGCUUACAAGUGCAUGGAAGUUGUGGUUGCUCUAAUGGUAAAUUGGAGUAAAUUUCGGGAUCAGUGUUAUGUUUGAAGCAAUGACAGGGAAGCGAAGCUUCGGCUAAGCCAUUAUCUGAAGUAAGAGAGCUGAUUUUGUUCCACAACGACACCUUUUUUGACCUUCAACAACCAGUUUUUCUCUUUCAUUGGGAGAUUCUUUAGUUCGGUUGAUUGAUUGGCGCUGGUGUUCUUUUGUGGUCCUAGAACUUCCGGUUCUUUGACCUUGAUUCAAUCGACAAGGCGGUUCGAAGUGAGGAAUUGGACUGUAUUUUCUUUUUGUUUCCAUGCUAACCUUGAAUUCUCAUAAUUUCUGAACUUGUUAGCAACAAUGUUUCUCCAUAGGUUUCCAUUUUGAUCCGUUCAUUUUAUUAGAUUAUAUUACUAUUGUUUUUGCUCAUCAAGUACUUGAUCGAAUCUUGGGCAAUUGUGUU